rnacentral:rRNA from 1 species
CCUACGGGAGGCAGCAGUGAGGAAUAUUGGUCAAUGGGCGAGAGCCUGAACCAGCCAAGUCGCGUGAAGGAUGACGGCCCUACGGGUUGUAAACUUCUUUUGUCAGGGAGCAAGUGGGUCCACGCGUGUGCUUAGCGAGAGUACCUGAAGAAAAAGCAUCGGCUAACUCCGUGCCAGCAGCCGCGGGAAUACGUAGGAUGCUGGCGUGAUCCGGAUUUAUUGGGUUUAAUGGGUGCGUAGGCGGAAGAUCAAGUCAGUGGUAAAAAUUCGGGUCUAAACCCAGUAGUGCAGUUGAAACUGAUGUUCUUGAGUGCGGGAGAGGUAUGCGGAAUGCGUGGUGUAGCGGUGAAAUGCAUAGAUAUCACGAAGAACUCCGAUUGCGAAGGCAGCAUACCGGCGUCCAACUGACGCUGAAGCACGAAAGCGUGGGUAUCGAACAGGAUUAGAUACCCGGGUAGUC